rnacentral:lncRNA from 1 species
GGGGGAGGGAGUGGGAUAGAUUGGGAGCUUGGGGUUAACGGAUGCAAUCUAUUGCUUUUGGAAUGGAUUAACAAUAAGAUCCUGCUGUGUAGCACCAAGAACUAUGUCUAGUUACUUACGAUGGAGCAUGACAAUGGGAGAAAAAAGUAUGUAUACAUGUAUGUGUAACUUGGUCCCCAUGCUGUACAGUGGGAAAAAAAAUUGUGUUGGGGAAAUAACAAUUAAAAAAAGAAAAAGACAGACAUAGGUUGAAAAUGAAAGAAAAGAAAAUGUUAUUCCAGGCAAAAAUCAAUCAAUAGAAGGCUGUGUCAGCUAUACUAAUAUCAGAAAAAAAUACUUAAAUUUUAAAGGAUUAUAAAACUUAGAAAAGGACAUUAUAUAUUUUUGGUGAUGCCUGUAGAAUGUGAAAGCUCCUGGGCCAGGGAUCGAACCCACCCCACAGCAGCAACCUGUGCCGCUGCAGUAAAAAUGCUGGGUCCUUAACCUGCUGCACUACAAAGAAAUCCAGGACAUUAUAUAUUAAUAAAGUUUCAAUACAGCAAGAAGAUAUAGCAAGAAUAAACAUUUGCAUAGUAGACACUUAAAUAAGUGAAGCAAAAAUUGACAGAAUGGUGGGGUGAAAUAGAUAGCUCUUCAGUAACAACUGAAGACUUCAAUACUUCAUUUUCUAUAAUGUGUGAGUAAAGUAGGCAGAAGGUAAGUAAGGAAAUAAAAGAUCUAAACAACACAAAUAAACCAACCAGACCUAAUCAACAUUUGCAGAACACUCUAUCCAACAAAAGCCGAAUACACAUUUUUCUCAAGUGCACAUAAAACAUUCUCCAAGAAAAAUCAUGUUAAGCCAUAAAAGAAGUUGCAGUAGAUUUGAAAAGAUAGAUAUAUCAUAAAAAGUAUCUUCUCCAAUUAUGUGACUUGAACUUAUAAAUCAGUAAGAGAAGGAAGUUGGAAGUUCACAAAUUGUAGAAAUUAACAUGCUCAAACAACAAAUAGGUCAAAAAAUAACAAGGAAAAUUAGGAAAAAACUUUUGAGAUGAAUGAAAACAAAAAUAAAAAAAUACCAAAACUUAUGAGAUGCAGAAACACUAGUGCUCAGAGAGAAAUUUAUAGCUGUUAAUGCAUACACUUGAAAAGAUAAAAGUCUUAAAUAAAUAACUUUAUACCUUACAGAACUAGAAAAAGAAGAGCAAAAUAAACCUAAAGUUAACAGAAUAAUAAUAACUAUUAAAGAAUAAAGAUUGGGGUUAAGGUAAACAAAAUAAAUAAUGGAGAAAUUAAUGAAAUCUAAAGUUGGUUAUUGAAAAAGAUCAGUAAUAUUAACAAAACUUUACCUAGACUGACAAAAACAAUGAGUCACUUAAAAUCAUAAAUGAAACUGGAGACGUAACUAACAGCCUUACACAGAAAAGGCAUUAAAAGAAAAUACUAUAAAUAAUUGUGUAUCAACAAAUUAGAAAACCAAGAAGAAAUAGACAAAUUCCUUGAAAAUCACAAAUCAUCUAAACUCACUCGAGAAGAUACAAAAUCUUAACAGUGGAGAAAUGCUAGCAAGAUGGCUGACUGGGAAGCUCCAGGAGCUCUUUCCCCCACAGAAAUCUGAUUUAACAGAAAUAUACUGACCAGACUACCUCCAUGAGAAUGCUAGAAACCAGUUAAGAAGCUGAAGCACCCAGGCCAAUGUACAACCUAGGACUUCCAGCAAAACAAGUAGCAAAAAAUUGUAGUAUUUCAUGCACCCACUUAUGCAUGCCAUAGCACUGUGCAAUUUAGAGGAAACCUGCCAUACUGUGCUCCUCCUUCAGGAUGGAAACAAAAGUGUGGAUGAUGCUUCUGAUCUUCUAUCUUGUCUAGGUUUUGCUGAGGAACAGUUUUGUUGUUGUUGUUGUUCUUGUUGUUUUUUGUUUGUUUUGUUUGUUUGUUUUUUCUCACCUGACUUGGAGUGCUAAUGGGUUCGGUAGGAAGCUGCUGAAAACAGAAGUGACUACCACAGUAUGUUAGAAAUGCAAUUCUGCAGGCAUAUGCCAGGGGGAACAAGAGGCCACAAAAGAUUUGAGAGUUUCUAAAAUCUAACUGGGCUGAUUGGUGAAGGUCUUUCCUUGCACAAAGCCAGUACACAAAGACUGCAAGAAGUGGUUUCUUUUUCAAAUGCACAAAUCCCAGCAAAAGUUUAUGAAGUAUACAAUGAAAUAGGAAAACACUGACCAAUCAAAAGAGCAAAAUAAAAUUUCAGAAACCAACCAUAAAGAAAUGCAGAUUUUUGAACUCCUUGAGAAAGAAUUUAAAAUAAUUAUUCAAAAGAUCUUCAAUGAGCUGAAAGAGAAUACAGAAAACUAAGUGAAGUCAGGAAAAUGAGUCAUGAACAAAAUGAGAAUAUCAACAAAUAUAUGGAAGCUAUUUUAAAAAAAAACGAAUUCUAGAGCUGAAAAAUACAACUGAACAUUACACUGGAGAAGUUCAAUAGGAGACUUGAGCAGUCAGAACAAAGUAUCAACAAAUUUGAAACAGAUCAUUUGAAAUAAUCAAGCCA